rnacentral:snoRNA from 1 species
CUCAAUGAUGAUCACAAUUUCAGACCUGUACUGAGUUUAUAGUGCGGACAACCUAUAUUGCCUUUUUUCUGAAG